rnacentral:lncRNA from 1 species
GGGAGCGGGGGAGCACAGCUGACAGGAAGAGAAAGCCAAGGGCAGCGCCGCGGGCACACCCACGGCGAGGAGCUGAGAGCGGGCGAUGCCAGCGCGGAAGCGAGCUGUCAGAAACCGGGAGGAGGCGAGGAAGACGUGGGAAAGUGCAGUGUCAUGGAGACCCAGGCAGGAGGCGUGGCCAGCCGCGCGCCGGGAGGCAGUGCUGAGGUCUGGCUGUGCAGAUGGCAGAGAGGAAGCUGUCGUGGUGGUGCCGUAGGUUAAGUCUGCACCCGAGUACUCGUCUGAGUCCUGGCCGCUCUGCUUCUGAUCCCGGGAAAGCAGUGAGGACGUGAGCUUGUGCCCCUGCCACCCACAUAGGAGACCACAAUGGAGUUCAGGCUCCUGGCUUCAGCCUGUCCCAACCCUGGCUGUUGCAGACA